UACGUAGGGGGCAAGCGUUGUCCGGAAUCAUUGGGCGUAAAGAGCGUGUAGGCGGCUCGGUAAGUCUGCUGUGAAAGUCCAGGGCUCAACCCUGGAAUGCCGGUGGAAACUGUCGGGCUCGAGUCCGGAAGAGGCGAGUGGAAUUCCUGGUGUAGCGGUGAAAUGCGCAGAUAUCAGGAGGAACACCGAUGGCGAAGGCAGUGUUCUGGGCCAGUACUGACGCUGAGGAGCGAAAGCGUGGGGAGCAAACAGG
rnacentral:rRNA from 1 species